rnacentral:tmRNA from 1 species
GGGGCUGAUCGGUUUCGACAGCGCCUGCGAACCCGCGAGAAGCGGGCCGAGGAUGUGGGGUUAUCUCGUAAACGCUCCCUGCAAAACAAUAAGUGCCAAUGCUAAGCGCACUGACUUCGCCCUCGCUGCGUAAGCGAGCCCGAUAGUCCGUCAGACCGUGUGUGACCCCGCCACGGAUCCUGGCGUCAUUUAGGGGUCUUGCUGCGUGACGGCGUCUGGACGUCACGCGGGACUUUUCCCAGGCUGGGCUCGUCGACUUAGGUGUCUGUGACAAAGGUCGGAGCCGAGCAGAACGUCUGCACAGACUGCGCCCGGAGAAAACGCGGAGACCCAGCGUUGGACGGGGGUUCGAUUCCCCCCCAGCUCCACGA